UCCCCCGUAGCUCAGCGGACAGAGCGAGUGGUUUCUACCCACCAGGCCGGGGGUUCGAAUCCCUCCGGGGGAC
rnacentral:tRNA from 1 species